CCUACGGGAGGCAGCAGUGGGGAAUAUUGGGCAAUGGGCGCAAGCCUGACCCAGCAACGCCGCGUGAAGGAAGAAGGCUUUCGGGAUGUAAACUUCUUUUCUGAGGGACGAAGGAAGUAACGGUACCUCCGGAAUAAGCCACGGCUAACUACGUGCCAGCAGCCGCGGUAAUACGUAGGUGGCAAGCGUUAUCCGGAGUUAUUGGGUGUAAAGGGCGGGUAGGCGGGAAAGCAAGUCAGAUGUGAAAACUCAGGGCUCAACCCUGGGCCUGCAUGUGAAACUGUUUUGCUUGAGUGCUGGAGAGGCGAUCGGAAUUCCGGGUGUAGCGGUGAAAUGCGUAGAGAUACGGAGGAACACCAGUGGCGAAGGCGGAUUGCUGGACAGUAACUGACGCUGAGGCGCGAAAGCGUGGGGAGCAAACAGGAUUAGAUACCCUUGUAGUC
rnacentral:rRNA from 1 species